rnacentral:lncRNA from 1 species
UUUUCAAUCGAUCAGUAGUACAGGCGUUCCGCCAAACUAUUCUCCCGCUUGGUACACCUCUUUGCUCAUAGUCAUUUUUCUUUCAUUUUAAAAUCUAUUAAUUCUUUGCUGACUUAUCUCUCAGAUACAGCAGUACAUAUCCCAAUUGAUCCCACUGCUUCAUUUCUGCCAAAAGAAGAACUAGAAGAAAUUUCUGAAAUCCCACAUCAUUCUUCUGUAAUACACUCUGCUUUUCUUU